ACCCGAGUGACCCAUCUGCCUUAUCCCUAACCCGCUCUCGUCUCCCUCCCUAGGACGCAGCCGCCCACCGAAUCAAAUCUCGUCGCCGGGCUCGUCUGCCUCGCCGUGGCCGAUGAAUGCGUCGGCUGCGGCCACGCCCCCUCUCCAAACGGCAGCGAUGAUGGAGGGAGCAGCUCACGCUGGCCAGGCUCCCGACCGAACGCGUCGAGUCAUCUCUCCUCAGGGCCAACCCCUCCUAUUCAUCGCAUCUCUCCCUGACUCCGUCUCCUCCACGAUAUGUAGCACCACCCCACGCCAUGGACGCCCUUGCCAGCUGCAUCUCUCCAUGCACCGCCACUCCUAUGACACCGCCGCCCGGCAGUCUCCACCAGCACCACGACGGGCGUGGCCUCUGCACGCGCCGUCACCUCCCCUCCAGAUCCGGCCGUCGUCGAGGGCAUAUCCAUCCAGCAGUGCGCCGUCACCUCCCCUCCAGAUCCAGCCGUCGUCAAUGGCGUAUCCAUCCAGCAGCGCACCGUCAUCCCAAUCAUCACCGUCCACGGCGUCAUCGCCCAGGCCCAGUCAGGGGCCGACAAGACCUCAAUGAUCUCCCUCUUCGUCUGCCAGGUCAUUGAGACCAACGUCCACGAUUCAGUGUGGUAAUCUACAGCAAUCAAGUUAACAAAUCUGAAGCAUUUUAGCAAAGCAACGGUGCAAGUGCUCUUUUGGUGGAAGAUGAAGCUUUUGUUGGGCUUGUGAUGUUUUUCUGAAGAAGACUGACGAUGAACUCAAAAGACAGAUAUAGUACUAAAUGAUUCAGGACUGCCGUAGCUCCAGAAAGGAUGGCACUCUUCAUAUUGUGAUGCAACGUCAUAAUACUAGAUUGUUUCUAUUUGUUCUGAUGCAACUUCUAUAAUUGCAGGUUGCUACUACGGGAAUACCUGAUGUUGCUUCAUGUCAGUUAUAUCUUCCAAUAUUUACAGAAACUUCCGAAACUGGCACCAGGUCAGGACAUGCUGAUGAUAACCUUCCAGUUUUGCUAAAUCAUAGUUAAUUGAGUAAUCUCUACUCCUAAAGUGUUCUUCGAAGGUGCUCAUCAUCUGUCGAUACACAACACCGCAGUUAUUGGUGGUUUACACAGGAUAGUUUCCAGACCUUUAUCGCAAGAUGGACGAACUUGGCAUCUCAGCCAGGACUCUGCCUCAUCAAUAGUUUGAUGUCCAUUUGCAUGAAGUUAGGCCAGCAUCAGAAUAUCCGUAGCCUUUUUGAGGAGAUGAAGGUGAAGAAUAUUAAGCCGGAUAACCUCACAUGUUUCCUUCCAAUGACCAGCCGUGUGGCAUUGAACAAGAUAAAUGUUGUUGGAGAAGUUUUAGAAGAAAUGCAAGAAAAGGAUGUAGUUCUAGGGUGGUAUUCAUAUAGCAUGGUUUCUAUCUACCUGAGUGCUGGUUUGGUUUUAAAAAACAGUCCGCUCUCAAGAAACUCGAGGGCCUUGAUUUUAGAAGGUAACAUAAAUAUCUAGAUUGAUCGUUCAUGGUCCUGGGGCUCCUUUUUACAGUGAGGUGCGCCGUUAGGGCGUGCCCUGAAUCGAGAGGAACAAGUAUGUUCACUUUCUGUUCGCUUUGUGUUUGCUUUCUGUAGUCUCAAAGUAGAGCAAUGGUCACUGCAAAUUUUAUCAGAGAAUGUGCAACAAAAGCACGUUGAGAAGUUCCUGUGAGCCCUAAUUAUUUCUUGAGAAAGCAAACUUAUUUAUCCUUGCUCUAUUUUUUGUGUACUAAGAUUGUUCGUUUGUACCCAGCAUGUGUACGUGAUGUGCCCUGCCGCUGUGUGUGCUUCCUGCUGAUGUGUGUGCUUCCUGACGCUGUUGAGCAUGCGUGUGUGUGUUCGCUGUCGCUGUUUAUUAACAUUGUCAUGCUCUCCUUACUUUUUGCUUAACAAUUCAUGAUCAAUACUGAACAUUAUUUUUUGAAUAGAUGCCACUUGAACUUAGUUUUAGCUCUCAUGUUGUUCAAAGAAUCGUCAAGUAAUGUUUUGCAUGGAUUUUAUAACUGACACAAUGUUUCUGAUUUAAUGAGAGCCAACCAUGCGUUCCUGGCUUCCCCGGCGAUGCCAACAUGGCAGGGCAGGACCCAGUGGCCAUCUUCGGCGCCUUCAUGGACUUUGUUAGCGCCGACCUCUGCUUCAUCAUCUACGGCCACGACCCCUUUGCCGUCGGCAUCAUCUGGCACCUCGGAAUGCAAAUUAAAUGUGUUCAUGGAGUGGGGUGUAAUUGUGAUUUGUGCAAUGGGUUCAGAGUGGAAGGGGCUGUCAUUCUUGUUUAGCAAGGGCUGCAAGUUAUAUCGCUAUAAGCCUGACAUGCAGCGGCAACAACAGAUUCAGAUGUGGUAAGCUCAUUCAUUCAUUCUCUCAGGACAAGAGGACCAAAUUGAUUCAAAUUUUGUGUUCUGAUCUUAAUGUUGCGAGGUUUGCGAUCGCAUGUAUGGUCGGGACUGCGUGGGCCCGGCGACCAAUUGCUUGCAUCUCUUGCUGUAUGGUGAUGAUGGACCGGCUCCUGUUAAAUCCAAUACGACUGCACUUCUUCGCUUUAGGUGGCCGUGAAGCUCUGACUCCAUCCUCACGACACUCAAACCUGUCUUGAUGAUUGCAUCAGAUUGCAACUCUAUUAUCUUUCCAUACCAUGAUAUGCGUGCAUGUCUCUUCGGUUCUCAAACAAGAAAUACUUUUCUUUCAGUUUGCUUUGUAGGUAACAUGCAGUGUACAGUUGGUAGCAGAUUAUGAUGCAAGUUUGUUUGUUUUCACUCCAAGCAUGAUUUUUAUGAUACAUGACGCUACUCUGAGGCUGCUCCUCACUACCAGUCACAACAAGAUGGGGCCCCUGGUGGUCCUCUGAAAUUUGAUUCUCUCGAUGGCCGAGGAUCGUUUUGCUUUGAAGUCUGAUGUACAUUUUUUUAAUCUCAUGUAGGAAGAAGGUAUCCCCCCUAUACGAAGAUUUCUAGCUUGCCUGUGUGUUGAUAAGUGCAUUCGGCCAAACAAUUUGUGGACCAAAUAAACUUGUUGCAGAUACAGAAGAACAAGGCUGCACACAAGGAGUUGCCUGAAUUGCAGUGGCAGCGGUGUUGUAAUAUGUAAUGUUUUGCAUCAACUUGGUCCAUAUUCUAUCCAUAAGUCUAAUGAAUUGGCCCUUGUUUAUCAGGAAUCAAGCUUGUGAAGAAAAAUUUCGUUACUUUAAUGACACACACUUGCAGUAAGUCAUUCAGAGAUAUAUUCAGUACAUGCUAGGUUGCCAAGCUCAGAGCCACCUGUUGUCUCCAUGAAUUCGCUGAAAGCAAAAAUCAAUUGUCCAUAGUCAUGUGAAACCUUCUAGAAUUCUUUUUAGUAUUUUGCAUUGCUUGUGCAUUUCUUUUUUUAUCACUUCUAAUAACCUCAUUGAUUCAUUUUUCCUAUCGUCAUGUCAGUCCUUGCUCUAAAUUUUUUGUUAAUAUGUUGCACUUCUUGUGCAUUUCCAUUUUUAUCACUUCUAAUAAUCUCAUUGACUGUUUACAUCUCACCGUGUUUACCAAGAACACGAGUGAUAAUUUUGUUUUAUAAUAAUACAAUAGUGACAAUUUUAUUUUAUUUUAUUUUCUAACAUAGUUCUCAAUUAGGCUUACAAAUAUUUUACAUUGGCAGUAGUUCUGUCAUCAAGCUUAUGUGUAAUGUAUUCCUUAGAAUGGUGUUUCAGCCAUUUCUAUGUAGGUGGCAUGUGUGAUGGCACGUAUUUCAGCCAUAUCGACUUAGGUGGCAUGUGUGCUGGCACAAGAAAAGGAAGGCCCUGAACUGAAAGGAGCAACAUAUAUUAAUGAAAUGCCCUGAAUUAAGUGUGUGAGAGAGAGAGAGUUCAAUUUAAUUUGUCUGGUUUAAAUAUUUAUGAGUAAUUUAAUUUGUUUGACCUUGAGUGUUGACUUGCUUUUCAGUUGUCAACAAUGUCCAUUUUGCUGAAUGUACUUGCUUAUCCUUCUACUGGACUACCAUUGAUUCACUGUGCACAUACACUUUCCAAUUCUGUCUGUUUACUAUCUUUUGUUAUUAUUUGUCUUGAUAACUUGAUGCUUUCUUCCUUGGUAGUUUAAUCUUAACAGUUCCACAUCCCACAUCGAACCUUCUAGACUCGUCCAAGUGACCAUUUGCAACAUCCUUUUCUGGUCAAUCUGGAUUAUUUCAAGGUUUUCAUCACUCUGGUCUGCACAACAUUCAUGGAAAUUAUAGUCUUCCAAAAUAUUCCUGGAUCACUUGCAAAAAGGAAUGAUGUGAAGAGUAGGGUUCCAUCAUCUGGGGUCCAACAACCCAGAGGGAGCAUUUCUGGGAGAUUUGCUACAAACAGCCUUCCUGUUGUCAUUCUCAGAUUCCUCAUGCACAUUCAGGUGUCAGUGGUAGAGUAAUGAAUGUUGGUGGAGGUCAAGCAUUUAGAAGUGGAAUGAAUAUGGGUGGUACCAUUCAAGGUUUAUCCUCAAACUUGGCCACCAGUGGUAAUCGAAAUUAUGUUCCUGGAAACCCAGCUUUGGGUCCACGUAUUACAAACAUUGUGUGCAGAAGUAACAUUGGAAUAAAUAUAAGCUCUGGUGGGUUGUCGGUGCCGAUUAUCUCAUCACACAUCGAUUUUAGGGUCAAUGCUGCAAGUGGAAGACGAAAUGUGCAAGGAUCCAUGAUGAAUGGCCUUAUUCUGCAAGGUAUGCCUGAUGGAGCGAUUGGGUUGAUGCUGAAGCUGAUAUACUCCCCUAAGUUGCUCCAAUCGGGAAUGCAGAUAUACUUCCGUGAGUUGCUCCCCAAAACCAAUCCCUUGCUCUUCUUUGCACCAAUCGGACAAGAGAUGCGAGCCAUCCUUUUUACUAGAUGUUCUCUUGAUCGUUUCUUCCUAUGGAUUUUGUGGUUGCCAGAUGUUCUCUCACUGUGGAUUGGUAUGAAGGUUGUAAAACAUUUUCAUUAGGCAUCAAUUUUAUUGCUGGUGCUUGUCUGGCUGUAAAAUCUGCUCAAUAUGUAUAUUUUCCUUUCGUCUGUGUCCCUUUUCCGAUAUAAUACUGAACCUUUUGGAA